UACGUAGGGGGCUGGCGUUGUCCGGAAUCAUUGGGCGUAAAGCGCGUGUAGGCGGUUCGGUAAGUCCGCUGUGAAAGUCGGAGGCUCAACCCUCGGAUGCCGGUGGAUACUGUCGGGCUUGAGUACGGAAGAGGCGAGUGGAAUUCCUGGUGUAGCGGUGAAAUGCGCAGAUAUCAGGAGGAACACCAAUUGCGAAGGCAGCUCGCUGGGACGUUACUGACGCUGAGACGCGAAAGCGUGGGGAGCAAACAGG
rnacentral:rRNA from 1 species